GAUGAAGAACGCAGCGAAAUGCGAUAAGUAAUGUGAAUUGCAGAAUUCCGUGAAUCAUCGAAUCUUUGAACGCACAUUGCGCCCCCUGGCAUUCCGAGGGGCAUGCCUGUUCGAGCGUCAUUUCACCACUCAAGCCUGGCUUGGUGUUGGGCGACGUCCUCUUUGGGGACGCGCCUCGAAACGCUCGGCGGCGUGGCACCGGCUUUAAGCGUAGCAGAAUCUUUCGCUUUGGAAGUCGGGGCCCCGUCUGCCGGAAGACCUGCUCGCAAGGUUGACCUCGGAUCAGGCAGGGAUACCCGCUGAACUUAAGCAUAUCAAUAAGCGGAGGA
rnacentral:misc_RNA from 1 species